AAUAUUGUUUUCCGGUUGUAGAUGACGAUCCCCACAGAUGUUCUUGUUGGAAAGACGUCACUUUUCUGGAUCCUAAAAGACUUUUACCGAGGAGCUCGUCCAACAUUCCCCACAAUGCAUCUCUCCAGGGAGGGACUCCGAGGAGCGCAGAGCUGGACGCCGAGUGUCUGAGACUGGACAGAGAGAUUGAAGCCACAUGGAACAGUCUGAGGAUCCUGGCCCAGCUAUUCGGCUGCAUGUCUAUAAUUCAGUACAGUGACCAGAUCUCCGCAGUGGACAAACUCAUCCAUAGAAUGUCCGAUGUUCUGCCGCUGCUGUCCGGCCUGGAGAUCCGGG